rnacentral:rRNA from 1 species
CCUACGGGAGGCAGCAGUCGAGAAUUAUUCACAAUGGGGGAAACCCUGAUGGUGCGACGCCGCGUGGGGGAAUGAAGGUCUUCGGAUUGUAAACCCCUGUCAUGUGGGAGCAAAUUCAAAAGAUAGUACCACAAGAGGAAGAGACGGCUAACUCUGUUCCAGCAGCCGCGGGAAUACAGAGGUGUCAAGCGUGGUUCGGAAUCACUGGGCGUAAAGCGUGCGUAGGCUGUUUCGUAAGUCGUGUGUGAAAGGCGCGGGCCCAACCCGCGGACGGCACAUGAUACUGCGAGACUAGAGUAAUGGAGGGGGAACCGGAAUUCUCGGUGUAGCAGUGAAAUGCGUAGAUAUCGAGAGGAACACUCGUGGCGAAGGCGGGUUCCUGGACAUUAACUGACGCUGAGGCACGAAGGCCAGGGGAGCGAAAGGGAUUAGAUACCCUAGUAGUC